rnacentral:rRNA from 1 species
CCUGGCUCAGGAUGAACGCUAGCUACAGGCUUAACACAUGCAAGUCGAGGGGCAGCAUGGUCUUAGCUUGCUAAGGCCGAUGGCGACCGGCGCACGGGUGAGUAACACGUAUCCAACCUGCCGUCUACUCUUGGACAGCCUUCUGAAAGGAAGAUUAAUACAAGAUGGCAUCAUGAGUCCGCAUGUUCACAUGAUUAAAGGUAUUCCGGUAGACGACGGGGAUGCGUUCCAUUAGAUAGUAGGCGGGGUAACGGCCCACCUAGUCUUCGAUGGAUAGGGGUUCUGAGAGGAAGGUCCCCCACAUUGGAACUGAGACACGGUCCAAACUCCUACGGGAGGCAGCAGUGAGGAAUAUUGGUCAAUGGGCGAGAGCCUGAACCAGCCAAGUAGCGUGAAGGAUGACUGCCCUAUGGGUUGUAAACUUCUUUUAUAAAGGAAUAAAGUCGGGUAUGGAUACCCGUUUGCAUGUACUUUAUGAAUAAGGAUCGGCUAACUCCGUGCCAGCAGCCGCGGUAAUACGGAGGAUCCGAGCGUUAUCCGGAUUUAUUGGGUUUAAAGGGAGCGUAGAUGGAUGUUUAAGUCAGUUGUGAAAGUUUGCGGCUCAACCGUAAAAUUGCAGUUGAUACUGGAUAUCUUGAGUGCAGUUGAGGCAGGCGGAAUUCGUGGUGUAGCGGUGAAAUGCUUAGAUAUCACGAAGAACUCCGAUUGCGAAGGCAGCCUGCUAAGCUGCAACUGACAUUGAGGCUCGAAAGUGUGGGUAUCAAACAGGAUUAGAUACCCUGGUAGUCCACACGGUAAACGAUGAAUACUCGCUGUUUGCGAUAUACUGCAAGCGGCCAAGCGAAAGCGUUAAGUAUUCCACCUGGGGAGUACGCCGGCAACGGUGAAACUCAAAGGAAUUGACGGGGGCCCGCACAAGCGGAGGAACAUGUGGUUUAAUUCGAUGAUACGCGAGGAACCUUACCCGGGCUUAAAUUGCAGAUGAAUUACGGUGAAAGCCGUAAGCCGCAAGGCAUCUGUGAAGGUGCUGCAUGGUUGUCGUCAGCUCGUGCCGUGAGGUGUCGGCUUAAGUGCCAUAACGAGCGCAACCCUUGUUGUCAGUUACUAACAGGUUCCGCUGAGGACUCUGACAAGACUGCCAUCGUAAGAUGUGAGGAAGGUGGGGAUGACGUCAAAUCAGCACGGCCCUUACGUCCGGGGCUACACACGUGUUACAAUGGGGGGUACAGAGGGCCGCUACCACGCGAGUGGAUGCCAAUCCCCAAAACCUCUCUCAGUUCGGACUGGAGUCUGCAACCCGACUCCACGAAGCUGGAUUCGCUAGUAAUCGCGCAUCAGCCACGGCGCGGUGAAUACGUUCCCGGGCCUUGUACACACCGCC